rfam:Musa acuminata subsp. malaccensis Doubled-haploid Pahang (DH-Pahang) genomic chromosome, chr9
GUGUUCAUAGAAAGGAGAGACGGUUGGCAUCUCCCCUGACAGGGACGGGAACGACCUUCGGGUCCACCUGUUAACACAUACGGUUAAGGCUACUCGCCUCGGCGGAUCUUACCCAAUUCAACU